GUAUAGACUCAUCAAUUACCAUUAGUUGUUGUUCGUGACCUGGUAACAGUGUGAAAUUGUCGGAAACUUCGUUAAAGUUUUGCAAGAUUCAAAAAUAGUUUCUCAUAUAAUGAACGAUAUAAUAUUUGUGCCAACUGUUACUCAAUAUUGUGACCUAUUGCCCCUUCCUCCACCAGAUCCGUGUCUCCACCGGUCAAUUUAUCUGAUCUAUCAGUACUCAUCAAUUACUAUGAGACCUUGUUCGUGACUCGGGAAUAGUGUGAAAUUCUCAGGAACUUCAGUAAAGUUUACCAGAUUCGCCUUCAUGUACUCAAAUUCAGUGUGACUUUAUCAAAACCUUCUUCAAAAUCUUCUUAAAAUAAACAAUUAACGGAAAUCCAGCUGCUCAAAACAUUUAUUUGAAUUUAAUAAACCGUCGUUUGUCACAGUCCGAAAUAUAAAGUGUUGCGGUACUAAUUGUGAUAAUUCUUGAAACCAAGAAAAUCGUAAUUACUCCUUUCUGCCAAAGCGUCAGGUUCCAGCAGUGGUGUAAAAUUCUCGACAUCGAUAAGGAAAACGUAUCACCUAAAACUGUCGUUUGCAGCAAACACUUUUAGCCACCUUCAAGAAAUUUCUCAAAGAGUUUUACCGACCUCUCCACCCCAUUUGUGUCUUCACCAUUGUCUGUGUCUCCACCGAAAGGGGGGUGGGUUAAUUUAUCCUUUAUAUGAACAAGAAGAUAAAGAUUAGAAAUAAGUUUCACUACAGUUUGAAGUAGAAGAACCAGAACCACAUUCAACUGUUUCCAUUUUCCUUAUAUACUCAAGGCACGAAAAUUAUUGCUACUAUUUGUAAUAAAAUAUUUUGCAACCGGGAAA